rnacentral:misc_RNA from 1 species
UUGUUCUCAGCGGUGGUUACCGUAAAUAGUUACUCAAGGGUGUAAUGCAAACAUUAUUUUACGUUUUCGACUUCAACGGACAUUUCAGUCAGUCGCAGUCUGUGGUCAACAAGGGUUGAGCUUUGAGAAAGAAGUUUGCUAACUUGACACGCAAAGAGGCGAAGAACUCCAAGAAAGAUUCGACAGAGAUGCCUGAAUACACUCGAGAGAGCUGUGCACCCUUGGGGAAAGAAUUUUUUGACUCAAUGGACCGUGUUGACGAAGGAGCAUUGGCAAGACUCAUAGUUGAAAUGCAGUUGAACACGUUACAAGAUUUGCCGGACCUUCGCACGCUUUUCUUCAGAAGAAAGCAACAGCAGAAGAACUACGUUGCGUCGCAGUACGGGAGGAUACAAGCUUACCGCAUUCAACAGCAAUAUUCGUCCCCUGUUCAUGGAUCGAAACCAUGGCCCAUGCAUGCUUGACAUGUCACGAUCGUCGUUAGAAGUCUCGUGAAUACCACAAAAUGACCUCCGCAUAUUUGGUCGCGGACGAAACGCUUGUAAAUAGAAAGAAGAAUAUUUAUAUUGAAAAAUAUAAGGCAACUGGACGACAGCAGGACUGUUCAGCUCUAACUGCCGAGACUUUAUUCUGUAUUGGAAGCAGGAUAUUUUUUUCCAAGCCAAAAACAGUGAAAUGAGACACUGAGUUCUGUGACCAGUUUUGAAAAUAAAUUUUUCAAAUCUCUAAAAUAAUAUUCACAGACAAAACCACAGAAGGGACAAUAGUGACUCUGUUUGCAAUAUUCAAAUAUCGCUUAGAUUAAAACACAACGAAUUAUAGAUA